rnacentral:rRNA from 1 species
UACGGGGGGGGCAAGCGUUGUUCGGAAUUACUGGGCGUAAAGGGCUCGUAGGUGGCCAACUAAGUCAGACGUGAAAUCCCUCGGCUUAACCGGGGAACUGCGUCUGAUACUGGAUGGCUGGAGUGUGGCAGAGGGGGAUGGAAUUCCGCGUGUAGCAGUGAAAUGCGUAGAUAUGCGGAGGAACACCGAUGGCGAAGGCAAUCCCCUGGGCCUGCACUGACGCUCAUGCACGAAAGCGUGGGGAGCAAACAGG